rnacentral:lncRNA from 1 species
AUGCAGAAUCCUCUCAUGUUUCUGAAAAGCCUCUUUGCUACCUGGCCGAGCUCCAGUUCCACUUCCUGGGUGAUUGGGACCAUCCUCCCCUUCCUGUGUGGACUGGGGCUCUUCCUCCUGUGCCUUCCCUCCCUGCAGAGGAAUCCAUCCUCACGACCACCUUGUGAACGCAGAAACAUAAGGAAGCGUCAAGUGGAGCCAAGAGGGAAGAGCAGCAGGAGCAGGAAGAAAAGGGGAGCUUUGAAAGCUUCCAGAGCUGCUGGGAAGGGCCUGGCAGAAGUGCGGGGCCAGGUGUCGCUUUCGCACAGCUCCCCAGGGAGGCUGUCUUCCAAGGGAUGCUCCCAUCGCUCAUCAUGUCAAGACUACCCUGGGGAGGCGAGCAACACAGCAUACGCCAGAGCCCAGCAGCCAUGCGGAAAGCCUGUGGCAGGUGCUACUCUCACCGUGACUCCAGCACAUUCCCUGAGUCCUCUGACCCACACCCCUAUACCUCUGGCCUCCACCCUGCCAGCAGAACCUCCAGCUGACUUGACCGGAAUCCCACUGGACACUACUGCCAUGAGCACAGCUCCAGCUCACUCCUGUUGGCCAUUUCCCAACUCAGGCCACGGCCGCAUGAGCUGGCGCGUCGAGUUCCUCUCCCGGUGGAACAUGAUCAAGGUCUUGUUCUUCCCCGGGUCAGCACACCUCCAGUCCCAGCAAGGGCACCUGUCCUGCCACCGACCAGUAGCCUCAUUCCGGGGAGGCCCCACACAUAGGGAGGGAGAGACGGAUAGCCCCUCAGUUGCCAACCCUGAUGCGCCAAAGCUGCUCAAGAUGGAAAUCAGGAAAAGAACACAAACGAAGGCCUGGGAAAAAGAAGAACAAGACGACCCAGGCAGCCCUCAGAUGCUCGAAGCACCCAGUAUCACGUCUGGGCUGAAUUUCCGCUGGCGCCCACCCCUCCUGUCCUUGGAGUCGGCUGAUCUGAACGCAAGUGAGGCUCAACCCUCGGCCCUUCCACGGUCUACUUUUCCCUCCUCUGCCACCCGUGAUUCUGGCACCCGCUUGGAGGCCGACAGUGCAGAGUUCUCGGGAAAACCUCUUGAGCCCCACCCAGGAGAGAAACAUAAGACUUUGACCACAAAAGCAUCAGUUCUGCGCCUGGCCCAUCCCCUCCCUUCAACUUCACCUGUGAGUGAGGAAAACCAGAAGGCCCCGGGAGGGACCCUACCUGGCAAUGGCUGUGGGCCCUCUGAGGCCUCUCUGAUGGGACAGCAGGGCCGGCCGCCUUCUCCGAGCUUCGCAUUCAGCCUCUCGGACAGAAAUGGGCAGAGCGGGACGGUCGUGGGGGCCAAGCAAGGCCGUCUACACCUGAGUCCAGGGUCAGCAAUGGCCAGGAACGAGCCUCUGAAAGAGAGUGGAGGUGGGGCGUCACCAGAGCCCUGCCGUGGGGUGGCAACACUGGAGGGCGAGUCAGGGUCCCAGUCUUGGAGCCAGGUCGGAGGAACAGGAGACGCCCUCGGGACCAAACCCCUCCAGGCCCUGCCUGAAAAAGAAGAGGUUUUUCACGUCAGCCCUUUCAGAAAAAUGUUGAGACGCUUCCUGCCCUGCCUGAGGCCCAAGAAGGAGGAAGCACCAGAGGAGCCCCUUGCAAAGGCAAGCCCGCGUCAGCCACCGCCCAGAGCCAGGCACGGGUCACACGCAGCUCGGCGUCGGAUGGCAGGGCUGUUCAGGCGCCAUCGACAGUAUCAUCCUUUGUCUGGGCACUGGGAGAGAGACUGA